CCCCGACCGAGCCACAUACCGGGUCAGGGACACAAACCGGUCCAACGCACCCUCAUAGGUCGUCGCCGCCGCUUUCCAUCAAUCCAUCUUCAGAAGAGUUACUGACGCAUCGACCUUGCAAGGCCUGCCGUCGAUGCCCCCACGGCGCCAGACAGCGCCUCCUCCCUACGCGCGCUCAUCAUCACGCAUCCGUCCUCGAGACUUUGCUCCGCCUCGCCGCCGAGACUCCACGACGUCGAUGUGUCACAAGGAACGCCGCUCCAUCGUUGAUGCCGACCAAUGAUCCCUCGA
rnacentral:lncRNA from 1 species